UGCUUUCUUUAGCAGCAGCAUUAUCCUAAAACUGGAACAAUUCAAAGAAUAGCAUGGUCCCUAUACAAGGGGGACACACAAAUUUAUGAAAUGUCCCAUUAAAAA
rnacentral:snRNA from 1 species